rfam:Triticum urartu cultivar G1812 contig1042044, whole genome shotgun sequence.
UAUCUAUUCCCUCCGCUCCAAAUUACUUGUCAUUGGUAUGGAUGUAUCUAGAUGUAUUUUAAUUCUAGAUACAUUCAUUUCUACGACAAGUAAUUUGGAACGAAGGGAGUAGCUC